rnacentral:rRNA from 1 species
GGUAGUCCACGCCGUAAACGAUGUCGACUUGGAGGUUGUGCCCUUGAGGCGUGGCUUCCGGAGCUAACGCGUUAAGUCGACCGCCUGGGGAGUACGGCCGCAAGGUUAAAACUCAAAUGAAUUGACGGGGGCCCGCACAAGCGGUGGAGCAUGUGGUUUAAUUCGAUGCAACGCGAAGAACCUUACCUGGCCUUGACAUCCACGGAAUUCGGCAGAGAUGCCUUAGUGCCUUCGGGAACCGUGAGACAGGUGCUGCAUGGCUGUCGUCAGCUCGUGUUGUGAAAUGUUGGGUUAAGUCCCGCAACGAGCGCAACCCUUAUCCUUUGUUGCCAGCACGUAAUGGUGGGAACUCAAAGGAGACUGCCGGUGAUAAACCGGAGGAAGGUGGGGAUGACGUCAAGUCAUCAUGGCCCUUACGGCCAGGGCUACACACGUGCUACAAUGGCGCAUACAAAGAGAAGCGACCUCGCGAGAGCAAGCGGACCUCAUAAAGUGCGUCGUAGUCCGGAUCGGAGUCUGCAACUCGACUCCGUGAAGUCGGAAUCGCUAGUAAUCGUAGAUCAGAAUGCUACGGUGAAUACGUUCCCGGGCCUUGUACACACCGCCCGUCACACCAUGGGAGUGGGUUGCAAAAGAAGUAGGUAGCUUAACCUUCGGGAGGGCGCUUACCACUUUGUGAUUCAUGACUGGGGUGAAGUCGUAACAAGGUAACCGUAGGGGAACCUGC